rnacentral:lncRNA from 1 species
GUGAGAAAGGCCUCUGAGAACUGGAACUCACGUUGGGCCUCAACUACAGAGGGAAGAAGAGGAGGGACACCAGAAGUAGCAUGAACAGUAUGUAUAAAGGUCUAAGAACAGGAAGUAAGCCUGUUCUGCCCAAAAUAGAGAGCCAGGAAAUGGUAUGGGCACACGGUGCUCCCAGGGGGCUGUAACUGACUGUGUAGCCUGCCUUUCCUCCUGUGGGAAGCUCUCUUGAGAGCACUUCAGGAUGCAAGACAUCGGGCAACCAAGCAGCUGUGCUUCACAGUUGGACCACACCAAGCUUCUGCCUAUGCAGCCAAUAAACAAACUAAGGCCCUGAGACAGAAAUGGCAUGGAGUACUACACAGCGAGCCACUGCCUUCCUCGCUCCAUCUGGUCCUCACCUCACUGUUUGCUCUCCACUGCGCCCCCCAGUGUGAGUCAAGACCCUCUGCCAAGCCCCAAGCUGAGCAAACAAAAGGGUAGGAGCCCAGCAGGUGAGCAGCCAAAUCCCAGCAGGCCAUGGGGCCAGACUAACAGCUCUGGGCAGACCGGGUGGGUGCAGAAAGCUCAGGACCUGGGGUACCCUUUCACCCCCUUGGGAAAGGAGACCAAGGGUUUGGGGGAGUCAGGGGAUGGAUUGUUUUUGUCAUCUCAAUAACAGCAGCACAAGGGGAAAGAGAUGGAAGAUAGAAGGCGAGGAAUAUUGCUUCAUACCUUACCUGGAAUGCUAUCAUUAAGAAAGCCUUUACUCCAGCCAGCCAUCACCCUCCCCACACUCCUUCAAAAUGCAAUUUCCAUCUCGCCCAAUCCAGAGCCCAUCAGCAGAGGACUGGUUAAAUAAGCAAUGCGCGGUGCAUAGCUCAGGACAUCAGUGGCCAUUAAAACGAAUGCGGGAUAGAUUUUUAAAAAAAUAACAAUGUCCAUGAUAUGUUGCUAGGUGAUAUAAGAAAAUUACUGAGCUGUGCUUCUGGAAAACGAAUAAAUAAAUAAAGUAAAUAAGUUGGUGCAUGCAUCCAGAAAAUAUCUGUAAAGGCAUACACUGAAAGUGGCUACCUCAUCUGGC